rnacentral:tRNA from 1 species
GCGCCAUUAGCUCAGCUGGAUAGAGCAGGAGACUUCUAAUCUCAAGGCCGACGGUUCGAAUCCGCCAUGGCGCACCA